rnacentral:ribozyme from 1 species
AAAAGUAGAAAGGAAAAGAAAGGAGGAAAGGGGAGGAAGAAGGAAGAGGUCCCUUUUCCUUUUUUUCGGGGGGGGAAUGUUUCACAUGUUUUCUUUUCUUUUUUUUUCAUUUCUCU